rnacentral:rRNA from 1 species
GACGUAGGAGGCGAGCGUUGUCCGGAUUUACUGGGCGUAAAGCGCGCGCAGGCGGUCGCGCAGGUCAUCUGUGAAAGCCCCCGGCUCAACCGGGCGGAUGCGGGUGAAACCGCGCGACUGGAGGGUGGGAGAGGUCGGCGGAAUUCCCGGUGUAGUGGUGAAAUGCGUAGAUAUCGGGAGGAACACCCGUAGCGAAGGCGGCCGACUGGACCACAACUGACGCUGAGGCGCGAAGGCCAGGGGAGCGGACGGG